AUUGAACGCUGGCGGCAGGCCUAACACAUGCAAGUCGAACGAGUGGCGGACGGGUGAGUAAUGUCUGGGAAACUGCCUGAUGGAGGGGGAUAACUACUGGAAACGGUAGCUAAUACCGCAUACCAUCGGAUGUGCCCAGAUGGGAUUAGCUAGUAGGUGGGGUAAAGGCUCACCUAGGCGACGAUCCCUAGCUGGUCUGAGAGGAUGACCAGCAACCCUGGAACUGAGACACGGUCCAGAGUCCGACGGGAGGCAGCAGUGGGGAAUAUUGGACAAUGGGCGAAAGCCUGAUCCAGCCAUGCCGCGUGUGUGAAGAAGGUCUUCGGAUUGUAAAGCACUUUAGGUUGGGAGGCGUUACCAACAGAAUAGGCACCGGCUAACUUCGUGCCAGCAGCCGCGGUAAUUC
rnacentral:rRNA from 1 species